rnacentral:tRNA from 1 species
UGGGGAGUGGUGUAACGGGCUAGCACAGGACACUUUGGAUGUCCCGGACCAGGUUCAAGUCCUGGCUCCCCAG